rnacentral:rRNA from 1 species
AGUGAACGCUGGCGGUAGGCCUAACACAUGCAAGUCGAACGGCAGCACAGUAAGAGCUUGCUCUUACGGGUGGCGAGUGGCGGACGGGUGAGGAAUACAUCGGAAUCUACUUUUUCGUGGGGGAUAACGUAGGGAAACUUACGCUAAUACCGCAUACGACCUACGGGUGAAAGCAGGGGAUCUUCGGACCUUGCGCGAUUGAAUGAGCCGAUGUCGGAUUAGCUAGUUGGCGGGGUAAAGGCCCACCAAGGCGACGAUCCGUAGCUGGUCUGAGAGGAUGAUCAGCCACACUGGAACUGAGACACGGUCCAGACUCCUACGGGAGGCAGCAGUGGGGAAUAUUGGACAAUGGGCGCAAGCCUGAUCCAGCCAUACCGCGCGGGUGAAGAAGGCCUGCGGGUUGUAAAGCCCUUUUGUUGGGAAAGAAAAGCAGCAGGUUAAGACCCCGCUGUUCUGACGGUACCCAAAGAAUAAGCACCGGCUAACUUCGU